rnacentral:rRNA from 1 species
GAUGAACGCUGGCGGCGUGCUUAACACAUGCAAGUCGAACGAUGAAGCCCAGCUUGCUGGGUGGAUUAGUGGCGAACGGGUGAGUAACACGUGAGUAACCUGCCCUUGACUCUGGGAUAAGCCCGGGAAACUGGGUCUAAUACCGGAUAGGAGCGCCUGUCGCAUGACGGGUGUUGGAAAGAUUUUUCGGUCAUGGAUGGACUCGCGGCCUAUCAGCUUGUUGGUGAGGUAAUGGCUCACCAAGGCGACGACGGGUAGCCGGCCUGAGAGGGUGACCGGCCACACUGGGACUGAGACACGGCCCAGACUCCUACGGGAGGCAGCAGUGGGGAAUAUUGCACAAUGGGCGGAAGCCUGAUGCAGCGACGCCGCGUGAGGGAUGACGGCCUUCGGGUUGUAAACCUCUUUCAGUAGGGAAGAAGCGAAAGUGACGUACCUGCAGAA